rnacentral:rRNA from 1 species
CAGCGUCAGUUACAGCCCAGAGACCUGCCUUCGCCAUCGGUGUUCCUCCUGAUAUCUGCGCAUUCCACCGCUACACCAGGAAUUCCAGUCUCCCCUACUGCACUCUAGUCUGCCCGUACCCACCGCAGAUCCGGGGUUAAGCCCCGGACUUUCACGACAGACGCGACAAACCGCCUACGAGCUCUUUACGCCCAAUAAUUCCGGAUAACGCUCGCACCCUACGUAUUACCGCGGCUGCUGGCACGUAGUUAGCCGGUGCUUCUUCUGCAGGUACCGUCACUUUCGCUUCUUCCCUACUGAAAGAGGUUUACAACCCGAAGGCCGUCAUCCCUCACGCGGCGUCGCUGCAUCAGGCUUUCGCCCAUUGUGCAAUAUUCCCCACUGCUGCCUCCCGUAGGAGUCUGGGCCGUGUCUCAGUCCCAGUGUGGCCGGUCACCCUCUCAGGCCGGCUACCCGUCGUCGCCUUGGUGAGCCAUUACCUCACCAACAAGCUGAUAGGCCGCGAGUCCAUCCAUGACCGAAAUUCUUUCCAACAUCCACCAUGCGGUAGACGUUCCUAUCCAGUAUUAGACCCAGUUUCCCGGGCUUAUCCUAGAGUCAAGGGCAGGUUACUCACGUGUUACUCACCCGUUCGCCACUA